UAGAUGUCAGGACGAUCGCAUCUUUUAUGUGCGCAAUUAAUAUGUAACAAAUUCUUACAAUUAGUACGAACCUUUGUUCUCUAAAUCGUCUAAUAACAUUCUAAUAUUUCUAUUUCGUCUCUAAUAUUUGUCUACCGUUUAGUCGCAACAUUGGAAUUUCUAUUAAAAGAAGAAAGAAGAAAAUAUAGUCGAAUUAGUUUUGUGUGUUGUAUGUGUUGUGUGUGUGUGUGUGUGCAAGAGAGAGAGAGAGAGAGAAUAGAAAGAGUAAAAGUGAACGAAUCAGUUAAUCUGUAAAGAUAAUAUAAAUGUCAGCGUUAUUUUAAAGGAAUAGAGUAACUUGAACAAGUUAUGCGUUUAUAUAUUACAUUUACAUAAUUAAAUAAUAUGUGUAUAAAGACAAAAAUUUAACAAUAAAAACUAGGUUAACUUAGUAACAAAAAAAAGAAUAGGAGAACUAAUGGAGAUAGUAAAAUAAUAAAAUAAAAAGCUAUUGAAAAUUGCAACAAUAUAAAGAUAACGAUUAUCAUAUAUUUUAAUUAGCUCAGAAAUAAUUAAAGAUUUAGUCUCUCGAUGUUCCAAAUAAAAACAGUUCAAUGAAUCCAUAAAAGACAGUUAUACAUACGUUCCAGCAACAGAUACUAUUGAACAAUUUCAAAUAUAAUAAAAGAAGAAAGAUAAAUAAAUGCAAAAAAUUACAGUAGUUAUGAUAACAAAAUAGGUCAUGAUUCAUGGAAUAAUUUACACAACUUCUAAAAAAAUUUAUUAUCAUAUUUAUAACAUAUAUCAAAAGAAUACGGAUAAGCUAUGACAUAUUUUACUUCAGAAAUUUCAUAGUUAGAAAUAACAGUCAGUUUUUUAAUUCAUCUAUAAGGAUUAAUUUUUUAUCUUUCUUAAACGAAAAAUAGAUAGCAAUAAAAAUAAAUUGAUCUUAAUAUGCAAUAUGCGUCAGUCUUUGCUUUGUAUUUAUGUAAAUAAAAAAUUAAUAUUCACUGCCGUCAUUAAAAAUAUUUGAUUCAAUAAUUCAUAAUGAUUUGUACAUGAUAUUAUUGGUAUUCAUUAUCAAGAAUGAUUACUAUAUAACAUUUCUAUAUAAGGUUCUAAAAGAAAAUAUCUAUGGAAAUAUCAGACAAUUAAGGUAUGUAAGCUGUAAAAGGAAAUGAAAGCAGAAAUUCAUAGAGUUUCUUAAAACAAAAAGUAUAAUCUCAACUAAUCUAAAACAAAUAAUCAUAUGUUUUCAUAAAUAAAACAGAAUCAACAAUUGCGGGUUUGUAUGUUAAAUACUAGAUUUAAAUAAGGAAUUAAUUGAAAGCCAGCUGAAAAGGUUAGGUAAGAAAUUUGAGAUAAAAAGCUAAUUCUAACUUUUUGUAUAUCUAGAACUUGAAAAGAUAAAGUAUUAGAAAUAAAACAAAUCAGUUAUAUAAAACAAUUAUUGAAAGUUUGGAAUAAAAAAUAAAUCUAUGAAAUCCCGAUACUACCAAAUGACGACACCUUAGAAGAAUCAAGUGCAAAGUUCUCUUAUAGAGAAUUUGUUGAAGAAGAGAGUGAGUCAGUGCAUAAAAACACCUGGAAAGAAUAAACUGUUUGAAGGUCAAUGCGACAAACAUCUUCGUCAGAUGAUAAAGCUGAUCGAUUCGAUUCUUGAUCGAUUUGAUCCGGUAUAUUCAAGACAACCACCUCCUCCUAAAAAGAAGAAAUUUUACAAACAAAUGAUUAAGGAAAAGAAAAAGAAUAAUCGCUAAUUAUAUAAAUCAAGUUUAAGUCACAUAUAUGCCAUGAUCUUCAAAUGAAAAAACAAGAAAACACCGGGUUACGGAGAAUAUACUGUAUUUAAUACACAUUACAAUGCGGACAUGGAGAAACCGGUUUCAAGCAAGCAAGCUACUAUACGACAUACGAGUUUAUAAUACGCUUACAUCUUCAUCUGACAAUGGAUAUUUAUCUUAAAUAUAAGUUUAACUCUU